rnacentral:piRNA from 1 species
AGGUAGCUACUUUUUGCAUAGACC